AGCAAGAAGCUGUUUACUCUUCAAAAUACCCUGUAUCCGUUACUGAACAUGGACCCAGACAGUUCUAGCUAAUCAAGCUAGUCUUGUCCCGGGGAUCCAGUUUCUGAUUCCCAAGUGCUCAGAUUACAGUGGAAGUUAUUCAAGUCUGUAAGUGGAGCGUAGCAGAAGUGUGCUUGCCCUGGAUGGAGAGGCCUUGGGUUAACUCGGCAGCAUUGAUGGAAGAGAACAGAAGUACCACCUAUCAAGUGAAGCAAAUGCUAUGAAAGACUUCUCCCUUGGAGUCAUGAGAAUUUAGAUCGAAGACUGGCGAAUACACAAACAGUUGAAGGAAUGAGAAAUAUUGCUAUCUUCAGAGGAGAUGGAUAAAUAAUAACUCCAUACAGGGUAAG